rfam:Camelus ferus unplaced genomic scaffold scaffold904, whole genome shotgun sequence.
GUAGGUACAGCUCAGUGGUAGAGAGAGUGCUUAGCAUGUAUGAGGUUCUGGGUUCAACCCCCAGUACCUCCA